GACGAACGCUGGCGGCGUGCCUAAUACAUGCAAGUCGAACGCAUUUUCUUUCACCGUAGCUUGCUACACCGAAAGAAAAUGAGUGGCGAACGGGUGAGUAACACGUGGGUAACCUGCCCAUCAGCGGGGGAUAACACUUGGAAACAGGUGCUAAUACCGCAUAAUUCCAUUUACUGCAUGGUAGAUGGAUGAAAGGCGCUUUUGCGUCACUGAUGGAUGGACCCGCGGUGCAUUAGCUAGUUGGUGGGGUAACGGCCUACCAAGGCUGCGAUGCAUAGCCGACCUGAGAGGUUGAUCGGCCACACUGGGACUGAGACACGGCCCAGACGCCUACGGGAGGCAGCAGUAGGGAAUCUUCGGCAAUGGACGCAAGUCUGACCGAGCAACGCCGCGUGAGUGAAGAAGGUUUUCGGAUCGUAAAACUCUGUUGUUAGAAAAGAUCAAGGAUGAGAGUGGAAAGUUCAUCCCUUGACGGUAUCUAACCAGAAAGCCACGGCUAACUACGUG
rnacentral:rRNA from 1 species